rnacentral:rRNA from 1 species
GACGAACGCUGGCGGCGUGCUUAACACAUGCAAGUCGAACGGUAAGGCCCUUCGGGGUACACGAGUGGCGAACGGGUGAGUAACACGUGGGUGAUAUGCCCUGCACUUCGGGAUAAGCCUGGGAAAUUGGGUCUAAUACCGGAUAGGACUCCUGGCUUCAUGGUUGGGGGUGGAAAGGUUUUGCGGUGUGGGAGGGGCCCGCGGCCUAUCAGCUUGGUGGUGGGGUAAGGGCAUACCAAGGCGACGACGGGUAGCCGGCCUGAGAGGGUGACCGGUCACACUGGGACUGAGAUACGGCCCAGACUCCUACGGGAGGCAGCAGUGGGGAAUAUUGCACAAUGGGCGCAAGCCUGAUGCAGCGACGCCGCGUGAGGGAUGACGGCCUUCGGGUUGUAAACCUCUUUCAGCUAUGACGAAGCGCAAGUGACGGUAGUAGCAGAAGAAGGACCGGCCAACUACGUGCCAGCCGCCGCCGUAA